GCGUGGAAUUUAGAAGGCGUGUAGACAAUGAAGAGUAGAAGAGGAAAGCACAUGGAGAGCCCUUUUGGCCCUCCACUGUAAUGAGGAAGUGGCUCAACAUUAAGCCUAAGGUGCAUGAGUUCAGCGAAGAUGAAGCUGACACAGAGAGCGAGGAUGAAGACACAAGCAAUAAUAUAGCUGAGAUGUCCUUUACAACAGCGGGGAGUCAAGUUACAUACA